UCCCCUCAGAUUCCAACUCAAGUUCUGAGCAUUUGAAAAGGGACUCUUCUUACCCACUCUUAUGUUUCCUUCCGUAUGCCAUCAGACAUAGUGAAAGAGGUCGAUUCUACCCUAAGGUAAUGUGGAGAGAAUGCAAAGCACAAACCAGGGGCAACACCCAAUAUCUGCCCGAAACAAGACUGGGAUAAAGGGAGGUGUGCUGUAAGAACUUCCUGAAUAUUCUUUGAUGUCAUAAAGCAGUAGGGAAUAAGGGGCUAACUGAGAAUAUAAGAUGAAUAAGGAAAGGCACAUCUUCAUGUUUUUAGAAUUUAAACGAAGUUGGAGAGUAACCUGCAAGUUGUAAGAAGCCCUGGAGAAUGACUAAUUUUAUCAGCUUAAAGAAAAGAAAAUCCAGAGAGGGAGCAUAUUUUCAAAUGAGGACCCAAAGAUGACUUGCUCAAGGUGAACACAGUGAGGAAGUUGCAGAUUUAGGACAUAAGUUUCAAAAUAGUCAAAGAAUAAAGAAUAAACAUUCAUGAGGGUUCUUUUCCCUUGGAGAGGAAGGAGAUACUGGAUUUUCUGUGUUUGAAGGAGAUAGUGGGUUUUCAAAACAACACUCAUUGGAAGAAGCUGGCGUGCUGUGACAAGUACAGGCUUGGAAGACGCAGGACCUGACCUCAUGUCUUGGCUCCAACCUGUGUAAAUGGCACUGCUUUGCCCAAGUGAUAUGAACUGUAUGAACUGCAGUGGAAUGAUUAGUAAUGCCUACUUCAUUGGUGUGUAAGAGUUGGAAAUGUUCCAUAAACCAUCACAAUGCAA